rnacentral:lncRNA from 1 species
CAAGUCAUCACCUGCUUCAGAAUUUCACUCUUGAGCCAAAGAAAACAAAAACUGCAAUUAGAGAUUUCUCUAACCUUGUUAAAGGAGACUAUGCACAGCAAUCCAUAAACUCAGUAGGUGCAAUUUCAUAGGUCUGAAGGAGGUGUAGGAUGCAUGACACCCAAAGUAAGAUACACAGUGGUGUCAUCGUGGUGGCUCAACCCAGCAAAGAGCCAAGAGUGUUCCAGUGUUCAAAGGAGAAGACAGGUCAGCCGCCUGAAGUACAGAGCAGGGUGGAGAAAUGGGACUAGAAGUACAAGCAGGACAUCUCCAGCUCAGUUGACCUCUUCAUACCAUCACUGACACACUGGUCUACACUAUUAUUUAUACUAUGUAUCU